CGGAACGUGACUCUGCAGGACUUGAGGUUGUUCUGCAGUUACUAGUCACAGAACUGGAGACGAGGUGUGGGCAGGACAGAGUGCGGAUUGUGUCAGAAUUGAGUUAAAUUGUAGGACAACCAGCUGGUAUCCCAGAGAUCUGCUUGGUGGGAGAAAACGCCCAUGCAUUUGGUGUCAGAGGCUUAGAAGUAAAAAAGAACACCAUCAGGAAGAAAGCAGACAAAUUGAGAAUGUACAACUGUAUAAUUCCCCUGGCCUGGACUCUUCAAAAGUUGAUGUUGUAAGUCAAAACCAAACAGAAGUUAAGAUGGGGGAGAUUUUCCAGGUUAAUCUACAGAAAAACUUCACAAACCUUGAUUAGAUUGUGGGGAAAACUGCAUAGAAAUCUUCAGGGGACAAUUAAAAAAUUUAAAUGUGGCUUGGA